rnacentral:rRNA from 1 species
UUUGCCUGGCGGCACUAGCGCGGUGGUCCCACCUGACCCCAUGCCGAACUCAGAAGUGAAACGCCGUAGCGCCGAUGGUAGUGUGGGGUCUCCCCAU